rnacentral:sRNA from 3 species
GCUCGGGCGACUUGGCACAAGCGCUGCAUUACUGACUGCACAACUUGAUCAAAGCGCGACGCUCAACGAAGAGCGCCGCACUUCCCGGAGACUCGGGACUUGGACAAAGGCGUCCUCGCUAGGUAACUAGCGGGACGCC